CACACACACAUUCUCUCUUUGGUGCAGGGCGGUCGUUAGUGUAGAAGGUAGGGCCCGUGGUGAGUAGAGUCUUCUAGAAGGUAGGGCCCUUGGUGGGUAGAGUCUUCUAGAAGGUAGGGCCCGUGGUGGGUAGAGUCUUCUAGAAGGUAGGGCCCGUGGUGGGUAGAGUCUUCUAGAAGGUAGGGCCCUUGGUGAGUAGAGUCUUCUAGAAGGUAGGGCCCGUGGUGGGUAGAGUCUUCUAGAAGGUAGGGCCUGUGGUAGGUAGUGUUCUAGAAGGUAGGGCCCGUGGUAGGUAGUGUUCUAGAAGGUAGGGCCCGUGGUAGGUAGUGUUCUAGAAGGUAGGACCGGUGGUAGGUCCGACCCUGAGGAGCUAAGGAUGUGUAGAAGCCGGUAGAAUAUUGGUGACAGCAG